rnacentral:rRNA from 1 species
UGGUGGAGUGAUUUGUCUGGUUAAUUCCGAUAACGAACGAGACCUUAACCUGCUAACUAGUCUCUGUCAUUUUAUGAGGUUGACUUCUUAGAGGGACUAUGCGUUUCCAAGCGCAUGGAAGUUUGAGGCAAUAACA